rnacentral:rRNA from 1 species
GUGCCAGCAGCUGCGGCAAUACGGAGGGUGCAAGCGUUAAUCGGAAUUACUGGGCGUAAAGCGCACGCAGGCGGUUGAUUAAGUUAGAUGUGAAAUCCCCGGGCUUAACCUGGGAACUGCAUUUAAAACUGGUCAGCUAGAGUCUUGUAGAGGGGGGGUAGAAUUCCACGUGUAGCGGUGAAAUGCGUAGAGAUGUGGAGGAAUACCGGUGGCGAAGGCGGCCCCCUGGACAAAGACUGACGCUCAGGUGCGAAAGCGUGGGGAGCAAACAGGAUUAGAUACCCUGGUAGUCCACGCUGUAAACGAUGUCGAUUUGGAGGUUGUGCCCUUGAGGCGUGGCUUCCGGAGCUAACGCGUUAAAUCGACCGCCUGGGGAGUACGGCCGCAAGGUUAAAACUCAAAUGAAUUGACGGGGCCCGCACAAGCGGUGGAGCAUGUGGUUUAAUUCGAUGCAACGCGAAGAACCUUACCUACUCUUGACAUCCAGAGAACUUAGCAGAGAUGCUUUGGUGCCGUUCGGGAACUC